GCCUCUAUAGUCAGUGGCAGAGCACUGUCUUGUAAACCAGGGGUCGAGAGUUCGAUCCUCUCUGGAGGCA
rnacentral:tRNA from 1 species